rnacentral:rRNA from 1 species
GACGAACUGUCCUAACGUUGUUCGGAAUCACUGGGCUUAAAGGGCGCGUAGGCGGUCCAGCAAGUCAGGGGUGAAAUCCUGCAGCUCAACUGCAGAAGUGCCUUUGAUACUGUUGGUCUUGAGGGAGAUAGGGGUGUGCGGAACUCACAGUGGAGCGGUGAAAUGCGUUGAUAUUGUGAGGAACGCCGGAGGCGAAAGCGGCGCACUGGAUCUCUUCUGACGCUGAGGCGCGAAAGCUAGGGGAGCAAACGGG